rfam:Danio rerio chromosome 21, GRCz11 reference primary assembly.
GUGUAAUGAUGUAAAAUAAUUAUUUCUCUGAAAUGUGAUGUUCUCAAAGGAACCACUGAUACAC